UCAUUAAAAACUUAACCUCCUUCUUCCUUAAAAAAAACGGAGAAAAUACAGAGAGCGUAUGCAAUAGGGUUUAUGAACGACUUCGCAGUUGGGUUUCCACGAGGGAAUCCUUGAAGAGAAUUCAACAUCUCUCUGCGAGUGUUUCAGCCUCUUCAAGGUCCUGUGAUUUUGAGGAAUCCGUUAAAUUCUUUGUAUUUCUUAACUUUGAGUAAGAUAAAUAAUGUCUGGAAGAAAUCGUGGACCGCCUAUUCCAAUGAAAGGAACCCCCCAUGCUGGGAUACCUCAUGCAGUCCACGAACCUCCCUUUGCGAGAGGACUUGGCCCAAUGCCCUAUCCAGCAUUACUUGAGGAUAUGAGAGAAUCCCAGUUUGGUAUGGGUCCUAGACCCCUCCCUCCUCACCCUGCAAUUAUUGAGGAGCGUCUUGCAGCCCAGCAUCAAGAAAUUCAAGCUCUUCUAGUUGAUAACCAGAGGUUAGCUGCGACUCAUGUUGCACUUAAGCAGGAGCUGGAAGCUAACCAGCAUGAGUUGCAAAGGAUGGCUCAAUUUGCAGAUUCGUUGCGCAUGGAGAAAGAUGUUCAAACGAGAGAGUUGUAUGAGAAGUCUGUACGUUUGGAAGUGGAUCUUCGUGGAGUGGAGGCUAGGCGGGCUGAGCUUCGUCAGGUUCAUGCUGAUAUCAAGGAGCUCACUGGUGUGAGACAGGAGCUCACGGGCAAGGUACAAGCAAUGACCCAAGAUUUGGCUAGGGUUACUGCAGAUCUGCACCAGGUUCCUGCUAUAAGAGCAGAAAUUGAAACUAUGAAACAAGAAUUACAACGUGCUAGAGCUGCCAUCGAGUAUGAAAAGAAAGGAUAUGCAGAGAAUUAUGAGCAUGGUCAGGUGAUGGAGAAAAAAUUGAUCUCAAUGGCUAGGGAAUUGGAGAAACUGCGUGCCGAAAUGGCUAAUGCUGAGAAGAGAGCACGUGCUGCUGCUGCUGUCGGGAAUCCAGGGUACAAUGCGAAUUAUGGCAACCCUGAUGCAGGAUAUGCAGGAAAUCAUUAUCCUGCUAGCUAUAGCUUGAAUCCUGUACAAAGUGGUGCUGAAAGUUUUCCUCCAUAUGGGGCUGGACCUGGUUCCUGGGGUGCAUAUGAGAUGCAACGAGCUCAAGGGCACAGAUAAAAAGUUAUCCUAUUAUCUGUGUGUUCUAUCGGGUAUCUUGGGCUGCAACUUUUUAGAUAGUAGCCACAUUGGUUUUGGCACUACCUUUUGCUAAGGAUGAAGAUCAUGACCUCACUUGGACUGCAGGUGAAGAAAUCUCAUAAAAGUAGUUCCAAGUUGAUUAUUGUCUUCAAUACAUUUGGAAAGGCAUGCCCUUCUAUAAGAAGCAAAAUACCUGCCCUAUUCCUCAGAGCAAAAUACCUGCACGGUGCCAAUGUUCAAGUUUACACUCAGAAAUUCUUGGUCUGUUCGUUUAGUUGUUUUGCAUAUUGCUUUUGUAAGAGAGGUAUUCCUUUUUUUCUCUUGUGACUGCUAGAUUUCGGUCUAUAAUCAUAACAUACAAGAGUUUCUGCAGCCAUAUAUGCUGGCUUCAGUAUGGACAUUGGGACUAGCAAGACAAUUUGUGAAACAACUGGAAUAGAUUGUUAGAAAUGCAGGCUUUAAAUUAUUAAGGAAAGUUCAUACAGGCUUCUGCUUGUGAAAGAACCAAUAGUUUGUUUAGUCUGUUAAGUUUGAAUUGAGGAGAGAUGUUAUCUUUAAUGAAUGAAGUUCCAUCCAUAUAUCAUUUCCUUUAGAAGAACAACUGCCACAUUCUAAGACAAGCCUAUAGUUGGGUUAAGGAGAUAUAAUCCUUAAUGGAUGAAGUUGUAUCCUUAUGCCAUAUUAUUUGAAAGAACAGCAGUGAAGUACAAAGAAUCUUGUUUCUUUGCAUGUGGUAUGCUGUUCAUUGGCAAGACAUAUCCAACAAUGGAGCUGAAGGAUGAGUUUCUUGGUCAAAUCUACAGCAUCCUGGCCCUCCAAAUCUCCUGCUUAUGCUAUUGGAAAAAGCUUAUGAAUGUUGGCUCAUGAGAUGGUGAUUUCUGUAAAUAGCAUUUACGGUGCUCUCACUUCUCAUCUCCUUUGGCAAUCCCUGUGUACUCAAAACUGUCUGGCCCUUCCAUUUUCUUUUUGGGAUGUAAGAAGAUCCGUCUUCAGUCCUCUCCUAACUGGGAGAGAGCUCUGAUAGAUUCUCCUCCUAUGAGCCCCAAUUUUUUUUUUUUUUUAAUUUAUAUUUGUAAAUUUAUUUUUCAAAAUAAUUACUUUAAAUAAACUCUCUAUUAUAAGCUUUAAGAUUUUAAUUAUUUAACAUUCUUUAAAAAAAAAAAAAAACUUCAAAUUAUAUAUUAGCUUUAUUAAAUUAUUUAUAUCAACAAUUUUGUCAAA